rnacentral:lncRNA from 1 species
CCUUCCUCCUGCCGAGAACUCCCCUAUUUAUAGAUCGCCCGAGCCUGGAGGAAGAGAAACGGGCGAGGGAUCAUGGCCGCUGGGAUUCCGGAAGAGGAGGAGGGCGCGGUCUGCGACCGUGGGCGGGAUCUCGGCUGCAUCACGGCGGAAGCAUAGGCGGAGGAGGCUGGAUCACGGGACGGUUGCUGGAGGAGGAGGCGAUCAUCCGAGAUCGCACAUGGAAUGGAAGGCGAUCCGGGAUCGAUGGGAGGAUGCCGUGGACGCUGGGAGGUGCGAACGGUGUGGCUGGCUUCACGGGCUGAGGCGUUGAAGACGGGAGGAGGCAUUCACGGCUUGGAUCCUGGCUGGAGCUGGGAGGAAN